AUGUUCCUAUACAUGGUCGGUCAGCAUCACACAAAUUCAUCUGUUGGAUUUUGGUUCUGGCGAUCUAGUGAAACAGUGAGCAGAUAUUUCAAUAUUGUCCUACGUGCGAUGGGGGAGUUAGCACGUGAUCUAAUUUAUAUUAGAUCGACGGACACACACACAAAAAUCACUAGCAGCCCGAACAGAUUCUACCCGUACUUUGAGGGAUGCAUAGGGGCACUAGAUGGCACUCAUGUUAAGGCUUGUGUUCCUGCUCACAUGAUGGACAAAUUUAGGGGCCGCAAGUCAUAUCCCUCCCAAAAUGUGCUAGCAGUUGUUGACUUCGACCUUCGGUUCACAUAUGUUCUAGCUGGUUGGGAGGGCUCUGCCCAUGAUUCUCUUGUGCUAAAAGAUGCCCUCUCANNNNNNNNNNGUCCAACGUGA
rnacentral:rRNA from 1 species